rnacentral:rRNA from 1 species
UCUGAUGCAGCACGCCGCGUGGAGGAUGACGCAUUUCGGUGUGUAAACUCCUUUUAUAAGGGAAGAUAAUGACGGUACCUUAUGAAUAAGCACCGGCUAACUCCGUGCCAGCAGCCGCGGUAAUACGGAGGGUGCAAGCGUUACUCGGAAUCACUGGGCGUAAAGGAUGCGUAGGCUGGAAAUCAAGUCGAGAGUGAAAUCCAACGGCUCAACCGUUGAACUGCUCUCGAAACUGGUUACCUAGAAUAUGGGAGAGGUAGAUGGAAUUGGUGGUGUAGGGGUAAAAUCCGUAGAUAUCACCAGGAAUACCGAUUGCGAAGGCGAUCUACUGGAACAUUAUUGACGCUGAGGCAUGAAAGCGUGGGGAGCAAACAGGAUUAGAUACCCUGGUAGUCCACGCCCUAAACGAUGCACACUAGUUGUUGCGAUGCUAGUCAUUGCAGUAAUGCACUUAACAGAUUAAGUGUGCCGCCUGGGGAGUACGGUCGCAAGAUUAAAACUCAAAGGAAUAGACGGGGACCCGCACAAGCGGUGGAGCAUGUGGUUUAAUUCGAAGAUACACGAAGAACCUUACCUGGCCUUGAUAUCCUAAGAAUCCUUUAGAGAUAAGGGAGUGCUAGUUUACUAGAACUUAGAGACAGGUGCUGCACGGCUGUCGUCAGCUCGUGUCGUGAGAUGUUGGGUUAAGUCCCGCAACGAGCGCAACCCUCGUGAUUAGUUGCUAACAGUUCGGCUGAGCACUCUAAUCAGACUGCCUUCGCAAGGAGGAGGAAGGUGAGGACGACGUCAAGUCAUCAUGGCCCUUAUGGCCAGGGCUACACACGUGCUACAAUGGCUAGGACAAAGAGACGCGAUACUGCGAAGUGGAGCAAAUCUUAAAACCUAGUCUCAGUUCGGAUUGGAGUCUGCAACUCGACUCCAUGAAGCUGGAAUCGCUAGUAAUCGUAGAUCAGAUAUGCUACGGUGAAUACGUUCCCGGGUCUUGUACUCACGCCCGUCACACCAUGGAGUUGAUUCACCCGAAGCCGAUACUAACUAGUACGACCACGUGGUCAGCGACUGGG